UACGUAGGGGGCGAGCGUUGUCCGGAAUCAUUGGGCGUAAAGAGCGUGUAGGCGGCCCGGUAAGUCCGCUGUGAAAGUCCAGGGCUCAACCCUGGGAUGCCGGUGGAUACUGUCGGGCUCGAGUCCGGAAGAGGAGUGUGGAAUUCCUGGUGUAGCGGUGAAAUGCGCAGAUAUCAGGAGGAACACCUAUUGCGAAGGCAGCUCGCUGGGACGUAACUGACGCUGAGACGCGAAAGCGUGGGGAGCAAACAGG
rnacentral:rRNA from 1 species